GAUGAACGCUGGCGGCGUGCUUAACACAUGCAAGUCGAACGGGAAUUACUUUAUUGAAACUUCGGUCGAUUUAAUUUAAUUCUAGUGGCGGACGGGUGAGUAACGCGUGGGUAACCUGCCUUAUACAGGGGGAUAACAGUCAGAAAUGGCUGCUAAUACCGCAUAAGCGCACAGAGCUGCAUGGCUCAGUGUGAAAAACUCCGGUGGUAUAAGAUGGACCCGCGUUGGAUUAGCUUGUUGGUGAGGUAACGGCCCACCAAGGCGACGAUCCAUAGCCGGCCUGAGAGGGUGAACGGCCACAUUGGGACUGAGACACGGCCCAGACUCCUACGGGAGGCAGCAGUGGGGAAUAUUGCACAAUGGGGGAAACCCUGAUGCAGCGACGCCGCGUGAAGGAAGAAGUAUCUCGGCAUGUAAACUUCUAUCAGCAGGGAAGAUAGUGACGGUA
rnacentral:rRNA from 1 species